GAGGACGUCUUUGAGAAGAUAAAGAAGGAGCUGCAAACCGGGGAAGACAGUGCAACAGUCUGUGACAAGAUGAAGCAGGAGGUGAAGACCAAGAUUGAUCAUAAUAUGGAGCAGAUGUGGAUGAAGCUGCUUUGGGAUUACAAUAUGUAUGGGCACCUUUGGGCUAAUGAUGGAGCAGAUUGAUCUACUAUGUAGGAGUAGACUUAGAAUCUGAACUAGUAGGACUGUGGUGGUGCUGUUGGGAAGAAAAACUUUAAUUAACUAAAUAGAUGUUAGUAAAAAAUUUCAGUCUGCCCAAAGUUUUCUGUCCACCAAUCCGCGUUCGUCCUAAAUUUGCGUCCCUCCUGAACUCCAUCCGUGGCUUCAAUGUGGGUGGAAGAGAAAGAAAAUAGAAACUUUUCUAAGGUUCCUAAUGCAAAAUCUUCUAUAUAUAUUAGAAACCUAUUUAAAAUAAAGAAAGUACAGGGAUCAAGGUGCAAAAUGUUUGUCCCCUAUUUGUGUAUUCAUGGGGAGUGUUUGCUUGAGAUUUUUUUUAGCUUCGACUGAUUGUGGCCAAAAAGGCUAACACAUUGCUUCCAUUGGAAACGAUUGGAAACGAGGAAAACUUACCAAAAUAAGUGCCUUGACAUCCGUAUGUGUAGUAAUUCAUAGAAAAAAAAUCAAAAAUUAAAAAAUAAAUUUUGUUCGGCUCCACAUAUGUAGAUCCAUGUAGUAAAGAAAAAAUAUCACAAAUUUUAGUAUAUUUGUUGCUGGA
rnacentral:lncRNA from 1 species